ACAGGAUUAGAUACCCUGGUAGUCCACGCCCUAAACGAUGCGAACUGGAUGUUGGGUGCAAUUUGGCACGCAGUAUCGAAGCUAACGCGUUAAGUUCGCGCCUGGGGAGUACGGUCGCAAGACUGAAACUCAAAGGAAUUGACGGGGGCCCGCACAAGCGGUGGAGUAUGUGGUUUAAUUCGAUGCAACGCGAAGAACCUUACCUGGCCUUGACAUGUCGAGAACUUUCCAGAGAUGGAUUGGUGCCUUCGG
rnacentral:rRNA from 1 species